rnacentral:rRNA from 1 species
GGUGAUGUUGAUGUGUGAGGGGGAACCACCUGUUACCAUUCCGAACACAGCAGUUAAGCGCCUCACAGUCGAUGAUACUGGUGGAUCAGCCGCUGGGAAAGUAGAUUGACGUCACCA